rnacentral:rRNA from 1 species
UACGUAGGGCGCAAGCGUUAUCCGGAAUUAUUGGGCGUAAAGAGCUCGUAGGCGGUUUGUCGCGUCUGCCGUGAAAGUCCGGGGCUCAACUCCGGAUCUGCGGUGGGUACGGGCAGACUAGAGUGAUGUAGGGGAGACUGGAAUUCCUGGUGUAGCGGUGAAGUGCGCAGAUAUCAGGAGGAACACCGAUGGCGAAGGCAGGUCUCUGGGCCACUACUGACGCUGAGAAGCGAAAGCAUGGGGAGCGAACAGG